rnacentral:tRNA from 1 species
GGAGAGGUGGCCGAGUCUGGCUGAAGGCGCUCGCCUGGAAAGCGGGUAGGCAGUUAACGCUGUCUCGCGGGUUCAAAUCCCGCCCUCUCCGCCA